rnacentral:rRNA from 1 species
CAGCCGCCACGGUAAUACGGGGGGGGCAAGUGUUAUUCGGAAUGACUGGGCGUAAAGGGCACGUAGGCGGUGAAAAGGGUGGAAAGUGAAAGUCGCCAAAACACUAGCGGGGUGCUUUCUUGACCAUUUCACUUGAGUGAGAUAGGGGAGAGUGGAAUUUCGUGUGGAGGGAUCAAAUCCUAAGAUAUACGAAGGAACGCCAACCGCGAAGGCAGCUCUCUGGGUCCCCACUGACGCUGGGGUGCGAAAGCAUGGGGAGCAAACAGGAUCAGAUACCCCAGUAGUCCCUGUCUCUUAUACC